GCCCGAGGAUGCCCAACACUGGUUUCACCCUCACCUCCCGGACAUUGAAGAUGACAGGGAAUUGCACCAUGCCGUGGGAGUGGAAUGAGGAUGCUGUUGUCACUUCAGAUGAACUAUGGCAUGCAAACACCAUGGAGAGUCUCCCUCAUGACAUUGUGAUGCUCCCAUUGCUGAGUAUGGAUAAGGCCAAUGUUGCGCACCUUUCAUUGCUUGACUGGGAUGGUGGCAGAUUCUCAUUAGUUUCCAUCGACUUGAGUAACAUGCAAGUGAUGGGCUCAGUCAUUACAUACCUCGAAGGGGAGGAUGAUCCUGCUGAUGCUGACAUCGUCAAGGCAAAGAAAGAAUUAUGUGCACACUUUAUUCCAUCCGAAUUCCCCAAGUUCCUGGGUCUCAGGUAACUUCAGCGUUGCCUCCCACUUUUACUUGAGCACAAUUUUUUUUCAUGCAGCCUUUUGCUCUCUUUUUUUCAGCAGUUAAGGUUUCUGCCAUGUUAUUCUUGAAACCUUUGAGGAAUCAACAGAAUGUGCUGGUUGCUGGGAGUAAUAUGGAUCAAUGUUUUCAAAUCUUUAUGUUGAGUCUAGUCGCUGGGGCACCAACUAGAUGGCUAAUCGUGACUAGGCAACGAUUAAAUUGCGAUUAGCUCUGAGACCAGUCGAUCCACCCUUGCCUAUAGUAGAGAAUGAUAGAGUAUAACACAAAGGUGACGAACUGAUCUCUUGGUUUGAGCCAACACAUAAUUGUUCUUUGUGGGUUCUUCAAUCUGAAAGUGCAUAAUAGCGUGCCAGCGUUGUGCUCUGUUUCCUUCACUAUUUUGAUUCUACAUGUCAAAUUAUUGAAAGGUUUUGUUCGGUUACCAACAACAUGGAUCCUUAGAAGUAGGUGGCACCCAGCGAAUCAGCAUCAUAUCGAAGAACCCCUAGGUCUUCUAAACAAACUGGCUGGAAUUGUGGAAAUCAAUUGAACUUAAUUAUAUCCAUAGUGCCUUCCUUGUAUAUCAUGUUUCAUUCAGCCAGUAGUAACCUCAGCAACUUGACGGUCUUGGGAAAUUAGGCAAUGGUAGUCUGCCCGAGGUUAAUAUAAAUGUUUCACAGCUUAAUCUGUUGCCUAACUGUUGCUUGUCACGUUGAUUCCAAAAUCGACCAUAUGCUAAGUUAUUUUUUCUGUAUGAUGUCCGAGACACCUGAGAAUCUUUUAUAAUUCUUGGUAACCAUGGAUACUGUCAAAAUAACUUCAGCAAUGGGUGAAUCUAAGACUAUGGGAAGCCUAAAUUUCAAUUUGUACAGAUUAUCUCUGCUGAAAAAUUGUUGAAAUCAUCAGCAUGUGCUGUAGCUGACAAUUAUUGUUUCCUAUUUGUAUUGAUGAAGUUCUUGCUACUGUAUUGCAGGGAGAGAGAGAACCAUCCAUAAGUCCUGUCACCAUAUCGGCUGGCCACCGUCGUCAUGUGUGUUGCUUCUUCAUUUUCCGGUUCUUAGAUGACGUUGUGCUGGAUUCUACUGCCGACUUUGUUGAUUGGCUACUUCAAUUCUGAGUUUAGUGCUCAGCCUUUGUGUGUUCCCUGCACUUGUGUACUAUAAAUAGCCAGGAAAAACACCUUUACCAGGCUCAUCCGUUGAACUAUAUGAUAAUGCUAGAUGAUGUGUCCAUGCCUUGCUAACGUCUUCUAAAUGCCAUGCGAGUUAAAAAUCCUGCAAUCAUGUUUCAUGGUAGCUUACCUUUGCACAAUGAAACUCCUCACUAAAAACACAGGUCAAUUUGAGGGACUAUUGUGUUAUUUUUACAGGGAUCUAAUGCCAUCAAUCAAAUUGUAAAAUACAGACAGGUGCGCGUGGAAUGGACACUUGUGUUCAUUCAGAUUUUUGUGAUAUUUCAUACCUAAUGAUUACCAGGUUGUCACGCCCCUACAUGCAAAAUUGGUCUACGAGAUGGGAUAUGAGCUCAAAAGGACGUGAGAGCUGUAUUAUCAUGUAGCUCAUGACCUGGCAGAAGUGAAUAGUUGCACGAAAUACAACAUUGCAAACAAGGUUUUAUUCAUUCUCUCUGCCGAUGGCACACGGUAGCAGAAGCAGUGCCACCAAUUGGUGAAAGAUUUUCAGUAAACUGAGUGUUUGACAGAACAAUAUGAUGCCACCAAAGCAAUCUGCAUGAGUUCUCUACCUCCGGAAGUCCAGAUGCUUGCUCUGUUUCAUUGCUGUAGCUCAUGGCAACUCUGGCAGCACCAUGGUCAUUUGCUGCACCAUUUUUCAGAAUAUGUAAAAUUCAAGUCAUACCAUGCAGUUGAUGGAGAUAAAGAUAUGCUCCAAAUGAAAUGAUUAAAAAAACAAUCAUAUUUAUUCUCCAGGCACCACUGGAACUCAUUCCCGAUGUCACUUGUCUCUGCCUGUGCCUACAUCGAGGAAGUAGCAUGCGAAUGAGAAAGAUGAAGAUAAGUACCAAGAGGUAAAUGUAUUCACUUGUCUCUGCAUGUGCCUACAUCGAGGAAGUAGCAUGCGAAUGAGAAAGACGAAGAUAAGUACCAAGAGGUAAAUACAUUCUUGAGAUAAAUAGAUAAAUAAAACCAAGGACCAGCGCGUGAAAAUAAGUACUCCGUUUAAGAUACUAUAUGCACAAUAAUCUUUACUCGUACAUAUUUUCUGUACAGCCAUGUACAAAGUUCAGCUCACUGUCAAGAGGUACACCAUACGACUGCAAGCUCAAAGAAUAGAAGAUUAUUACACACCACCCAAACUCUACCUUUUGUACAUCAGGUGCUCGAGAAACAUACAUUGGACAAGUAGAAUAAAAGUUAUAAAUCAUAUCAACAAUUCCAGUUAAAUACGGUGUUUCCGAAACAACCAACCGUUCUUGGGCGUAAUCUUCCUGACACUAUCCUGGAGAAACUGGAGCGUGCCUGGAGACAUGUGAGCCCUGUCCAUUGUGUUAACCUUCGCCGCCUUUCGAGGGGACAAGGCACACUGCAUUGCCCAGAUUGCAAGGGGGCGCAUGUAUAUCAAUGACCUAUAGUGGCCAUCCACUGUCCAUGCUUCUGGAGUUUGAAACCAGUACCUGAAUUUGUCAAGGAAAUUGAUUAUUAAUUAUUAGCAUAAAUAGGUCCAAUAAUGUGACUCCAUUUCUGUUACGAAACAAAUCGAUGAAUGCGCUGAAUCCAAGAUAGUGCGAUCAUAAAAGAACUAUAUCCAUUGCCAGUAACAAUAAAUAAUCUUAGCAGUCUUAAGCAGCAUUAACUUCGCAUACUGCAGGAAAAUGCACAGUAAUAUCUAAACCCUUUAUGACUUUAUCUCAUACUAUUACUUAACCAUUGUCAUCUCAAAGGACGAACUAGUAUAUGAGAACUACUCACAUUACUAUGCAUAUCAUGUACCGGGAAAAUGAUGCUAGGACUGGAACUUCUAUAUAGCGAAACAAAACAAGAAGCAUACUCAUAGCCCUCUUCAGACCAUCCUGAAAUAUAAAUGCCUUCUGCAGCAGUGAAGGCCUGAUGCUCCAUUCCAUGAAGCAGCAUCGUUGCAGCUAAACUAUAUGUUACUCCUGUCCAUAUUUCCGUUGACUGCAUACAGGUUUCAUCUACCUUCCCGUUCGGAUGCAUACCGUUCACGGCUCCCAUACGUCCUCCUUUCACCCUCAUCACAUUAUAGUCAAAUAUUUUCUGAAGCGUGCAUUUUAUCCUAUCCUCAUCAAAUAGAGGAUGAUGCAGUAUACCAUUGUCCAGCCAGCUGGUCUGCCUGGAUAGAACGGCUACUGUAACUUGUUCCACCGUCAUAAUUGAAGUAUGAACAAUUCCAGAAUCUGGCUUCAAAUACGGAUUUAGCUUUUGCAAAUCUUACCAUGCACCUCUCAGCAUAGUCAUCAUGUCCAAGGCUGCGGGCCAGUGCGGCUGCAGCUUGCAGUGCAGUUCGAAGGCAAAGGCAACCAGUACGCACUUACUCCUUGAACUAUCCAAGCAUCAUAAGUUUGAUCAGGAAAUCCAUCAUUUUCAAUCAUACCAUCACUAUCAUGAUCAAAUUGUUCCAUAUAUUCCGUAGCAGUACAAACUGCAGGCCAGACAUCCUUGCCAAAUGACAUAUCACCUGUUGCAGAAAAAUCUCUGUAAAUCUGAAGCACGAACUUGUGUCAUGGAUGUUGUAAGCAUUCAAUUCAUGCCAUUGAUCAUGUGCUCCAAGGUCACGGGCGACAGCACCAAUUACUUUACGAAUCCCCCAGGUACCAUCAGCAAGAAAUCUGACUCUACUGUUAUCUUCCCGCAAAACAGCUCUUGCAAAAUCACGUUGAAUGCUUUAUUCAAUCUUAGGAAACAGAUCCAAAAGAGCAAAAGAGGCAUAGCAAUGUACAUUGUAAGUGCACCACAUGAAGUACUCUAUUCCUUCCAGGUACAAAAACUUCCCAACGUUUUCUUUGUCAUCGAUCUCAUGUGGGUCAAAACCGAUUAGGGGAGCUGUAGAAUUGCAACUGCUAUCACGAAGUGAUGAAUCACUGUCCUCAAGGAGACUUGAAUUUGACUUGUUAUCAGCAUCAACCACCAAAGAUUCACUAUCUGUCAUGUUCGGAAAUAAAAAGGUUUCACUAUCUCAGAGUAAAAACAAUACAACAUAUAGAUACCGAAAGUUGCAAAUGAUCAUCAGAUUAGUAGUUGUAAAAAUUAAAGUAUCAUUUUUGUAUUGUCACCUUCUAUGAGAGAAGGUAAUCAGACCAAUAAAUUGACAGCCCAGAAGAUCAGAACAUUGGGAUUUGUAUCUAGAGAUAUUCUGCUCUUGAAUCAAUCUAGUAUUAUGUUUCUCUUUACUUUAUUCCAAAAUAAUUUGAUCAUUAAAAAUAGAAUCUACAUAUCAACAACAUGCACAUCACAAAUUUUUCAAGCAAUGCUUUCAUAGUAACAUGGUCAAAGCAGUACUCCAUAAAGAAUUUAUAGUGAAUAUGGAUCAUUGAAGGACAGAAGAAGAAAACUUAAUGUGCAUAUUGCCUAUUUAUUUUAUACUGCUUCCCAGAAGAGAACACUCAAAUGGAAGCUAAACGCAGGAUAAUCUCUUAGAAAAUGCUAAGUUAAUUGCUGAAUUCCAGUAAUGUAUAUAUCCAAAAUCAUCAAGCUCUUUGUGUUACUUGCAGGCUAAAUACGACUGAGAGUAGAAAAUUGGAGAAAGGAAAAAGAGUAACAAUACAUGCAGAGAUUAGUACCAAUCCAAACAGUUCCUCCAGCAACUAGGAAGUACAGCUCAUUGAAGAGAGUAAUCAGUCAAACAGGUUAGCAUAUAGUUAUGAGACAUUGGUUAUAUGCAGAUGAAGGAAAACGUUAACAUGCAUUGUCCAACAACUCUUCAAGGUUUCUACUAAAGGAAUCAAGAAGUAUUUUUUUUAACAACUGACUUGAGUUGUCUCAAUCCCAAUUUGGUUUUGUCAUGAUUGUCACCAAGUUAGGAAUAAAGAAUUUACCUGUAGUAUGCACUUCCUUUUUUAAAUUUAACCUUAGGAGAAGACCAAGCUAAUGCGGAUACGACUGUACAUCUUCCAUGUGGUUCAACCCAGGUGGAAGCAGAAACUGCUGCACAAACUGUAUCACCCAGUGAAGAAAGCAUGCUGGCACCAGCAUUGAAAUUAUCUCGCUCAAAGGAACCAUACUUUACACAUUGAAACUUCAAUCAUUUCAUUAUUUCAAAAAGGAAAGUAGUUCCACACAAGAUUUGCCUUUGAUGCGCUAGAAUACAAUAAUCUCAGAAACAAGAUUGUUUGGGUUUGGGCACAUUUUGGUCAAUACCCCAGGUUUCAGCACGCCCGUGGGCCGUGGUAACAGCAAUGAAUGGGCCAUCGUGGCCACCUGACUCGCCCGCCUUCAUAUUGUCACCCAUGAACACAAUGCCAGAUGCAUUAAAUGGAGGAAAUUCAGAGCGUGUAGACAUUGCUUCAGGUUCAACUUCAAUCCAUUGUCCAGUUUCAUGCUUCUGCUUCCACAGUUCAACAAAAUGGGAACAUGCCUUCCUAUUCAAUCAGCCAAAUUGAGGAAGUUAGCAUGAAAGAUGUCUGAUAAGAUGUACGUUAUAGUUUGAUGAAAUGACUAAACUUGUGUCGUUGUACAAAUUGAUGAACAAGUUCAAGAGAAGUAUUAAGACGGGAGCAUGGAAUAGUACAGUUUUCCACAGCUCAUGUUUCUCGUCUGAAUAAACCUUAUAAAACAUCUGAGGUAUCCACACUAUCCUGACAUGCUAAAGCAGAUGAUACAAGCGACAUGGGUAGGAGCCUCAAGAUCAAGCUAAAAGUACGAAAGAUAUUACGAUAACUAGCUCAGUCUAGCAUACAAAAACACUUGAGUAGUCUCAUUAUUCUUUGUUGCUCAGGAAAUUUGGAAGCACAGAAAUAGCCCGAUCUUCCGAUAGGUAUGGAUAAUUCGAUUGGUGGAGAACUCGAUGCUGAUAAUCCGAGCUUCUAAUCAGACACGAUUCGAACCCCUGCAACCGCUACACUGUUGCUCCGUUGGUUAUCAACCAAACACAACUCGAUUGACCUCGCCAAGAAGUUUUUCCCUGCAAGCGAAUCGAAAAACAUAAGAAAAAAGUAUAAACACGCAAUCUAAGAUUGCAGAUGUAUAUAAUAGAUCUAAGUAAAAGGUUCAAGCCCUCGAUUCAAAAGGACCAAUCGACACUAUCGAGGAGAUCGAGAACAGGAGCCUUGAAUCACAGUGAAAGGGCUUGUCGCCACAGUUACAAUAUAUUAAUCUCAGUUUCUCAAAGGAGAACUAGAACUAAACAAAACCCGAGUCUCUUAGGUGGGGGAGGCUACUAAGUUUAUAUGAAAAAGGGGCAAGCUAGGGUUGGGGACGACCAGGAGAGGGACGCCUACAACAUGGGCUUAAAGCCCGACUCAACUUGGCCCAAGUAACAUAUAUAUAAAUUAACAAGUAGAGAUACUAUACGAAUUAACCAAACUAAAACUAUAUAUAGUAAAUGGGCACGGGCUAAAAGUAAUAUAUGAUUUUGAGCUAAAUAAAUAUAGGGUUGGGUUGUGAAGGAGAUAUGGAUCUCGUAGCCACGAGUGAACCUGAGAGCUUAAAAAAACAGAGAGCGCCACACAUCGAUUAAAAGGUGGGCCGAAACAGAUAAAAGAUAAAAAAAGAAUCAUAUCGGCCCACAAUGAAAUGUUAAACAGAAGAACGCAAAUCUUGAAAACAUAUGGGUCGUUCAAAACCGACGGGCUAAUCUUUCUACGUGCUGGGCUGAUCCCAUGUGGGCCGAUACAGACACGUCAGGACAAGAAGACCCACCCGGCCAGGCCCAGACGCAGGAGACAAGAGAUUGAAGAGGAUAGAUCGAAUCAAUAGCCAACUCCUCUCGUCGUCCUCGUCUCCAAAUCGAGGCAUACCCCAACCCUAGCCAUCCCCAAUCCGGCCGCCGCGUCUACCGAUCCGUUAGAUCCAUGGCCGCCGCCGCCGCCGCCGCUGCCGGCGACUCCGCUGUACCCAACUGGGUGAUGCUGGAGCGCUGGGCCUUCCGGAGGGACGACCCCGCCUCCUUCCGCGAGGACAGGAGGACCUUCGCUUCCGGCACCACCUCCGCCGGCACUCAAUUCGACGUCUCCUUCAUCCUCGCCGAGCCUCCCACCCCCUCGCGCCUCUACCUCUCGUGGCCGGAAGGGCCCAAGAAGGGGGGCCAGGGCCUGGUCAUGGCGGCCAACCGCAACCUCGUCCUCUUCAGGCUCGACUCCCUCGUCGACGAAUCCGAGCCUUUCGGGGAGGUAGUGCAUGAUUACUUCAUCUACAUAGCUGAUCCCUCCUCACAGCAGACACCCCUGCUCAGACUGCUGCCCCCCUGCACCGAGUACAACGUUUAUUUUGAGAUGCAAGAUACUCGCGCGUUUCCGGUGCUGGCUGUUGGUCUGUUGUGCCAUGGCGAAGACGAGUUUGCCGUGGCGCAUCUGACCAUCAGGUCUCGCAAAAAAAAAUCAGGGUCUCGCAUAAAAAAAUCAGCUAUGCAAGCUGAGCUAUGCGUGCUACGCUCGUCAUUGUCCUGCAGUGAUGAUGCCAAAUGGGAGACCAAGGUCGUUCCGCUACAGUACCAAUACGAUGAUUUAUACUAUGAUUUUCUGAACUGGGAAGUGGAUGGUGUAGUUCCCUUCAAGAAUGCCUUGUGCUGGGUUAACUACUGUAGAGGCAUCCUUUUCUGCGACGGCGUCUUUGAAGACAGACCCAAGGUCUCCUACAUCCGCUUGCCUCUGGAUACUUCUUUCCGAGGGACUGGGACUGAUGCCGAUGCACUCAAGGGGAUGUACCGUGGCUUGUGUGUCACUGAAGGUGGCCAUCGGUUGGUAUUUGUUGAUGUUGCCCGUCAUGAUGGAAAAUGUUAUGGCCCGAGGAUGCCCAACACUGGUUUCACCCUCACCUCCCGGACAUUGAAGAUGACAGGGAAUUGCACCAUGCCGUGGGAGUGGAAUGAGGAUGCUGUUGUCACUUCAGAUGAACUAUGGCAUGCAAACACCAUGGAGAGUCUCCCUCAUGACAUUGUGAUGCUCCCAUUGCUGAGUAUGGAUAAGGCCAAUGUUGCGCACCUUUCAUUGCUUGACUGGGAUGGUGGCAGAUUCUCAUUAGUUUCCAUCGACUUGAGUAACAUGCAAGUGAUGGGCUCAGUCAUUACAUACCUCGAAGGGGAGGAUGAUCCUGCUGAUGCUGACAUCGUCAAGGCAAAGAAAGAAUUAUGUGCACACUUUAUUCCAUCCGAAUUCCCCAAGUUCCUGGGUCUCAGGUAACUUCAGCGUUGCCUCCCACUUUUACUUGAGCACAAUUUUUUUUCAUGCAGCCUUUUGCUCUCUUUUUUUCAGCAGUUAAGGUUUCUGCCAUGUUAUUCUUGAAACCUUUGAGGAAUCAACAGAAUGUGCUGGUUGCUGGGAGUAAUAUGGAUCAAUGUUUUCAAAUCUUUAUGUUGAGUCUAGUCGCUGGGGCACCAACUAGAUGGCUAAUCGUGACUAGGCAACGAUUAAAUUGCGAUUAGCUCUGAGACCAGUCGAUCCACCCUUGCCUAUAGUAGAGAAUGAUAGAGUAUAACACAAAGGUGACGAACUGAUCUCUUGGUUUGAGCCAACACAUAAUUGUUCUUUGUGGGUUCUUCAAUCUGAAAGUGCAUAAUAGCGUGCCAGCGUUGUGCUCUGUUUCCUUCACUAUUUUGAUUCUACAUGUCAAAUUAUUGAAAGGUUUUGUUCGGUUACCAACAACAUGGAUCCUUAGAAGUAGGUGGCACCCAGCGAAUCAGCAUCAUAUCGAAGAACCCCUAGGUCUUCUAAACAAACUGGCUGGAAUUGUGGAAAUCAAUUGAACUUAAUUAUAUCCAUAGUGCCUUCCUUGUAUAUCAUGUUUCAUUCAGCCAGUAGUAACCUCAGCAACUUGACGGUCUUGGGAAAUUAGGCAAUGGUAGUCUGCCCGAGGUUAAUAUAAAUGUUUCACAGCUUAAUCUGUUGCCUAACUGUUGCUUGUCACGUUGAUUCCAAAAUCGACCAUAUGCUAAGUUAUUUUUUCUGUAUGAUGUCCGAGACACCUGAGAAUCUUUUAUAAUUCUUGGUAACCAUGGAUACUGUCAAAAUAACUUCAGCAAUGGGUGAAUCUAAGACUAUGGGAAGCCUAAAUUUCAAUUUGUACAGAUUAUCUCUGCUGAAAAAUUGUUGAAAUCAUCAGCAUGUGCUGUAGCUGACAAUUAUUGUUUCCUAUUUGUAUUGAUGAAGUUCUUGCUACUGUAUUGCAGGGAGAGAGAGAACCAUCCAUAAGUCCUGUCACCAUAUCGGCUGGCCACCGUCGUCAUGUGUGUUGCUUCUUCAUUUUCCGGUUCUUAGAUGACGUUGUGCUGGAUUCUACUGCCGACUUUGUUGAUUGGCUACUUCAAUUCUGAGUUUAGUGCUCAGCCUUUGUGUGUUCCCUGCACUUGUGUACUAUAAAUAGCCAGGAAAAACACCUUUACCAGGCUCAUCCGUUGAACUAUAUGAUAAUGCUAGAUGAUGUGUCCAUGCCUUGCUAACGUCUUCUAAAUGCCAUGCGAGUUAAAAAUCCUGCAAUCAUGUUUCAUGGUAGCUUACCUUUGCACAAUGAAACUCCUCACUAAAAACACAGGUCAAUUUGAGGGACUAUUGUGUUAUUUUUACAGGGAUCUAAUGCCAUCAAUCAAAUUGUAAAAUACAGACAGGUGCGCGUGGAAUGGACACUUGUGUUCAUUCAGAUUUUUGUGAUAUUUCAUACCUAAUGAUUACCAGGUUGUCACGCCCCUACAUGCAAAAUUGGUCUACGAGAUGGGAUAUGAGCUCAAAAGGACGUGAGAGCUGUAUUAUCAUGUAGCUCAUGACCUGGCAGAAGUGAAUAGUUGCACGAAAUACAACAUUGCAAACAAGGUUUUAUUCAUUCUCUCUGCCGAUGGCACACGGUAGCAGAAGCAGUGCCACCAAUUGGUGAAAGAUUUUCAGUAAACUGAGUGUUUGACAGAACAAUAUGAUGCCACCAAAGCAAUCUGCAUGAGUUCUCUACCUCCGGAAGUCCAGAUGCUUGCUCUGUUUCAUUGCUGUAGCUCAUGGCAACUCUGGCAGCACCAUGGUCAUUUGCUGCACCAUUUUUCAGAAUAUGUAAAAUUCAAGUCAUACCAUGCAGUUGAUGGAGAUAAAUAUAUGCUCCAAAUGAAAUGAUUAAAAAAACAAUCAUAUUUAUUCUCCAGGCACCACUGGAACUCAUUCCCGAUGUCACUUGUCUCUGCCUGUGCCUACAUCGAGGAAGUAGCAUGCGAAUGAGAAAGAUGAAGAUAAGUACCAAGAGGUAAAUGUAUUCACUUGUCUCUGCAUGUGCCUACAUCGAGGAAGUAGCAUGCGAAUGAGAAAGACGAAGAUAAGUACCAAGAGGUAAAUACAUUCUUGGAUAAGGCCAAUGUUGCGCACCUUUCAUUGCUUGACUGGGAUGGUGGCAGAUUCUCAUUAGUUUCCAUCGACUUGAGUAACAUGCAAGUGAUGGGCUCAGUCAUUACAUACCUCGAAGGGGAGGAUGAUCCUGCUGAUGCUGACAUCGUCAAGGCAAAGAAAGAAUUAUGUGCACACUUUAUUCCAUCCGAAUUCCCCAAGUUCCUGGAUCUCAGGUAACUUCAGCGUUGCCUCCCACUUUUACUUGAGCACAAUUUUUUUUCAUGCAGCCUUUUGCUCUCUUUUUUUCAGCAGUUAAGGUUUCUGCCAUGUUAUUCUUGAAACCUUUGAGGAAUCAACAGGAUGUGCUGGUUGCUGGGAGUAAUAUGGAUCAAUGUUUUCAAAUCUUUAUGCUGAGUCUAGUCGCU
rnacentral:lncRNA from 1 species